UUUUAAUGACGCGGCCAUUUCAAGCUAAGCGACGUCAGGAAGAAAACUAUUUGGUGCAGCAACUUCUAGAGAAGAUCAUACGAGAUGUCGACCCCUGCAGUCCGCCGACGUCACACUGACGCGGACAAGUUGGUGAACAGACUCAAAAACUCCAUGCCAGACAAGUUCAGGAUCAUGGUUCAAAUGCAUUUAUCUUUCAUCCUGGAUCUCGACGGAACAAAAUUAGAGGAAAUGUUCACUGAACCAGAAAAAGUGGAAGCAGUUCCAAAAAGGAAAAGUACAACUCCCUUCUCCAAAAAGAAAGAAAAACACAACUCGGUCCUGUUUGGGGCUCCACUAAGCAAUGAGAACGUGGCCCGCAUCUACCCUCUGAUUGAGUUCCUCAGCCGUCCAGAUAAUUUGAAGACAGAGGGCUUAUUCAGAAAGACUGGUAAUGUGGCGAGGCAGCGUCUGCUGAAGGAGUGGCUGAACGAAGGGGUCGACCUAAUUCUUGACCAGGAGUCCUUCACCCCCCACGACUGUGCCACCGUCCUCAAGAACUACCUUUCAGAGCUCCCCGAUCCACUACUGACCGAGAGACACUACCAGGCCCAUCUACAAGUAGUCGAAAUGAUGUCGCACGUUGUGUUGGAGACGGAGAAGACGAAGGCUCGCAGUAAGCAGAAAAAUCCCGCCAUCCAGAAAGAGGCUGAGUAGUGAAAGUAGUGAGGGGAGUCACCCCGAGAGCCGACCAUCCCCAGACAAGAUCCCCAAGGUUCCCUGUACGGAGAACGAGAUCCACUACCUGGCCAGUCUUCCUCAUGAACGCAGACACUGUCCCUGCACCCCGAAACAGCUCCACCACAAACCAGUCGCCAUGGUGUCGCCAAUGAGUCUUCAGUCUCCUAUAUCUGAGUCUGUCAAAAAGAUUCCUUAUAAAUCACAGAAGGCUAUCCACACCCCUCGCUCAAGAGCCCCCCUGCUAGUCAUCCAAUCUCCGACCAGUCUGUCACGGGAGAGUGUGCUGUGAACAGAUAUAUAGUGUUAUAUUUAGUGCUGAUCAAACAUUCCACAUCAAAGUCACAGAGAACCUGUACUACAGUGUAUAGAAAGUGCUGUGUAUAUUUUGUUUUAUUGUAUAUAGUCUAUAUGAAUAACUAAAUGCGUGACGAGGGACACAAUACUCUCUUUACUGAUUAAUUGUAUAGAACACGAGUUAUAUGUUAACCCUCGGAUAAGUAUACAUGUACAUGGAUGUUGCGUGCCAUUGAAUCCUAACCAGGGCUCCAUUCACUAGCUCUGAUUGUGAUAAUUCACUACCUUCCUCAUUGAAAAUGAUGGGUACCAAGAGAUUAGCUGUAUCUAGUGCUUAGUUCAAUGUUAUUGUGUACGUACUCUCAGACAAUCAAAUCUCAGUCAGAAAGCACUCAAAACUUAUAGCUCCCUUUCUUUAUUUUAGUGCUUUUGAAAGAUUUGUAUGAUUAAUUAUAAAAGGAACAAACUUUGUUUGGUUUUGGUAUGUAUUGUUUUGUAUCUUCAAUAUGGCCAAGAUGAAAUAUAUAGAUAAAUACUAUAAAGAUAUAGCGAGAUAUAAAUGAUACUACUUAUACUUGAAUAUUGUCAAGUCUUCUGUUGUGUAAUAAAUCAUGAAACAACAU
rnacentral:misc_RNA from 1 species